GGAUGAACGCUGGCGGCGUGCCUAAUACAUGCAAGUCGAGCGAACGGACGAGAAGCUUGCUUUUCUGAUGUUAGCGGCGGACGGGUGAGUAACACGUGGAUAACCUACCUAUAAGACUGGGAUAACUUCGGGAAACCGGAGCUAAUACCGGAUAAUAUUUUGAACCGCAUGGUUCAAAAGUGAAAGACGGUCUUGCUGUCACUUAUAGAUGGAUCCGCGCUGCAUUAGCUAGUUGGUAAGGUAACGGCUUACCAAGGCAACGAUGCAUAGCCGACCUGAGAGGGUGAUCGGCCACACUGGAACUGAGACACGGUCCAGACUCCUACGGGAGGCAGCAGUAGGGAAUCUUCCGCAAUGGGCGAAAGCCUGACGGGGCAACGCCGCGUGAGUGAUGAAGGUCUUCGGAUCGUAAAACUCUGUUAUUAGGGAAGAACAUAUGUGUAAGUAACUGUGCACAUCUUGACGGUACCUAAUCAGAAAGCCACGGCUAACUACGUG
rnacentral:rRNA from 1 species